GGGUUGUGAGGUUAAGCGACUAAGCGUACACGGUGGAUGCCCUGGCAGUCAGAGGCGAUGAAGGGCGUGCUAAUCUGCGAUAAGCGCCGGUAAGGUGAUAUGAACCGUUAUAACCGGCGAUACCCGAAUGGGGAAACCCAGUGUGAUUCGUCACACUAUCAUUAACUGAAUCCAUAGGUUAAUGAGGCGAACCGGGGGAACUGAAACAUCUAAGUACCCCGAGGAAAAGAAAUCAACCGAGAUUCCCCCAGUAGCGGCGAGCGAACGGGGAGGAGCCCAGAGCCUGAAUCAGCAUGUGUGUUAGUGGAAGCGUCUGGAAAGGCGCGCGAUACAGGGUGACAGCCCCGUACACAAAAGCGCAUGUGCUGUGAGCUCGAUGAGUAGGGCGGGACACGUGGUAUCCUGUCUGAAUAUGGGGGGACCAUCCUCCAAGGCUAAAUACUCCUGACUGACCGAUAGUGAACCAGUACCGUGAGGGAAAGGCGAAAAGAACCCCGGCGAGGGGAGUGAAAAAGAACCUGAAACCGUGUACGUACAAGCAGUGGGAGCACAGGUUUACCUGUGUGACUGCGUACCUUUUGUAUAAUGGGUCAGCGACUUAUAUUCUGUAGCAAGGUUAACCGAAUAGGGGAGCCGGAGGGAAACCGAGUCUUAAUUGGGCGUUAAGUUGCAGGGUAUAGACCCGAAACCCGGUGAUCUAGCCAUGGGCAGGUUGAAGGUUGGGUAACACUAACUGGAGGACCGAACCGACUAAUGUUGAAAAAUUAGCGGAUGACCUGUGGCUGGGGGUGAAAGGCCAAUCAAACCGGGAGAUAGCUGGUUCUCCCCGAAAGCUAUUUAGGUAGCGCCUCGUGAAUUCAUCUCCGGGGGUAGAGCACUGUUUCGGCUAGGGGGCCAUCCCGGCUUACCAACCCGAUGCAAACUGCGAAUACCGGAGAAUGUUAUCACGGGAGACACACGGCGGGUGCUAACGUCCGUCGUGAAGAGGGAAACAACCCAGACCGCCAGCUAAGGUCCCAAAGUCAUGGUUAAGUGGGAAACGAUGUGGGAAGGCCCAGACAGCCAGGAUGUUGGCUUAGAAGCAGCCAUCAUUUAAAGAAAGCGUAAUAGCUCACUGGUCGAGUCGGCCUGCGCGGAAGAUGUAACGGGGCUAAACCAUG
rnacentral:rRNA from 3 species